rnacentral:siRNA from 1 species
ACAGUGAUCUAUAUCUGUACAGUG